AGUAGGUUAUUGGUGCGCUUGGC
rnacentral:siRNA from 1 species